UUAGCACUGGUGAGUUUAUAGCUCUGCUGCCUCUGGUAGCCUCCUAUGAGGGUUCAAGGCUCCUGCUACAAUCACGUGUCUGUCCUGGCAUUGUGCUCACAGUUAACCUACACAUAACAACUAAUUUUUAUUACUAGCCAUCUCCUCAAAGCCCAGAUAUAACAGCUGGUGUUAUGCCACACACCUCUCUGAAGCUAAAGCCACCAGCAUGUUUGCUCCUCCAGGCCAAAUCACCACUCCAGACAGGCCAACGUCAGAGAUGGCCUGAGGCCACCGCUGUUAGUUCAACAGGCCUGCAGCCAGAUACAAUCAAUAUUUACUUGACUGCAAGGAUCCAAAUACUUUUGAAAAAUCAUUUCUGAAGGACCUAUAGCUGUAAAAGAGGAAAAUAUAUGAAUCACACUGACCCUGGAACUGCUGAGAGAGGUACUGAAUGUGUAGCAUGAAACAGCAAUAAGUCAAAGUCUGCAACAGUGAAGGCUCAGUCAUUCAUGAUCCAAGAGGAAAUUACAAGUCAACUCACUAAACAAAAUCAAUCUAAAGCCCAGAAAACCAGAAAGAUUGAGGAGAGAUUUGAAAGAAGUAAUGAAACAUUGAAAAGAGAAACAUUGAAAAGAGGAGAGAGAGCAAUGACAACUUGUUGAAGUUGAACUGCAGAAGACAAGAGCUAUUUGUCAGAGUGAAGAUGAGACAAAAAUAGACCAGAAGUCUAAAUGCAGCCCUGGGAAUGAAUAUAAUUUAAGAGAAAUGAGGCAAUAAAGAGAAAUUCAAAAGGAAGUACUUCUACACCCAUAGAAAGACUAAAUAUCAGAUGCCAGCAAUAUUCAAGAGGUGAUACCUCAGAUGCAUAAGGACAGAAGUUCAGGCAGAGGUUUGGGAGUCUGCAAAGGAUCUUUCAGUUGCAAUUCUAGAAAUCUGGAAGGUUCAAAAAAAGAGGAAGAAGAUAUCAAGAAUGAAAAGCAAGUUGCAAUACAGAAAACAUGCUGAACCAGUGGGCAGGAAAAAUGAACUAUGAUAGGGAGAGAGAGAAGCAUUCAAGUAUUAUUUUUUCAUUUCGGUGGUGAAGCAAAUAAAAAUUUGUUUAAAUUAA